rnacentral:tRNA from 1 species
CCGUAGUUCAACUGGAUAGAGCAUCGGCCUUCGAAGCCGAGAGUUGUAGGUUCGAGUCCUACCGGGU